CUACCCCUAUCAUCUACUUCUUUCUUGAAACAUAAAUCCUCUUUCUUCACUCUCAUUCUCAUCUUCCUCCUUGUAUCUGCACCAGAUAACACCACGUUGGUUUACAAAAGAUGUGCAAACCAACCUCUUCCAGAUCCCAAUGGGGUCUACUCAUCUUCCUUUUCUGCCAUUUUUGGCACACUCAUUCAACAAUCUUCAAAAGCAAAGUGGGAAUCUUCAAAGUGGGAAUCUUCAAAUAUCUGGAAUGGAGUUGUUGUACAAAACAUGUGGGAAAAAAAGCAAUGUGGGUGAUGCAUAUAACUCUUAAAGAGAUGGGAGCAGGCUCUUGUGAAGGAACUUGAAGAGAUGGGAUUCAAGCAGCUGGAUUUGAACACGGAGGUAUUGAGGAUGAAUGAUUACGAUCUGGAGAAAUCUAUUGAUGAUCUUUGUGGUGUUUUAGAAUGGGAUCCAAUUCAAACUGUAGGAAAUGGCGAGCGUGUAAAUUUCAUAUCUGUGUGUUAUUAACUUUAAAUGUUAGUGAUGUUUUUAUUGA